CGCUUACUCGGGGAUAGCCUUUCGAAAGAAAGAUUAAUACCCGAUGGUAUAAUCAGACCGCAUGGUUUGAUUAUUAAAGAAUUUCGGUUAUCGAUGGGGAUGCGUUCCAUUAGGCAGUUGGUGAGGUAACGGCUCACCAAACCUUCGAUGGAUAGGGGUUCUGAGAGGAAGGUCCCCCACAUUGGAACUGAGACACGGUCCAA
rnacentral:rRNA from 1 species